UAGAUAUCAAUAAGCGGUGGAAAAGAAACUAACCAGGAUUCCCUUAGUAACGGCGAGUGAACAGGGAUUAGCCCAGCACCGAAGUCUGCGUCCGUUUGGCCGUUCGACAAUGUGGUGUUCAGGUUGGCGUUUUUAAGUCUUGCUCCGUUUAAAGUCCAUUCUUGAAUAUGGCUAUUAGUUUGGCCCAGAGAGGGUGAAAGGCCCGUGUGGAUGGAGCGAUGCUUGACUGCGUUAACUAUGGAGUCGGGUUGUUUGAGAAUGCAGCCCAAAGUUGGUGGUAAACUCCAUCUAAGGCUAAAUACUGGCACGAGUCCGAUAGCGAACAAGUACCGUGAGGGAAAGUUGAAAAGUACUCUG
rnacentral:rRNA from 1 species